UUUUAAGUCUGAUGUGAAAGCCCACGGCUCAACCGUGGAGGGUCAUUGGAAACUGGAAAACUUGAGUGCAGAAGAGGAAAGUGGAAUUCCAUGUGUAGCGGUGAAAUGCGCAGAGAUAUGGAGGAACACCAGUGGCGAAGGCGACUUUCUGGUCUGUAACUGACGCUGAUGUGCGAAAGCGUGGGGAUCAAACAGGAUUAGAUACCCUGGUAGUCCACGCCGUAAACGAUGAGUGCUAAGUGUUAGGGGGUUUCCGCCCCUUAGUGCUGCAGCUAACGCAUUAAGCACUCCGCCUGGGGAGUACGACCGCAAGGUUGAAACUCGAAGGAAUUGACGGGGACCCGCACAAGCGGUGGAGCAUGUGGUUUAAUUCCAAGCAACGCGAAGAACCUUACCAAAUCUUGACAUCCUUUGACCCUUCUAGAGAUAGAAGUUUCCCCUUCGGGGGACAAAGUGACAGGUGGU
rnacentral:rRNA from 2 species